CCCUUAGAUGUCCUGGGCUGCACGCGCGCUACACUGAUGUGUCCAGUAAGCACCUAACCUCUUCCGAAAGGAACGGGUAACCUUUGCAAAGCACAUCGUGAUGGGGAUAGAUUACUGCAAUUAUUAGUCUUGAACGAGGAAUUCCUAGUAAGCACAAGUCAUCAGCUUGUGUUGAUUACGUCCCUGCCCUUUGUACACACCGCCCGUCGCUCCUACCGAUUGAAUGUUCCGGUGAGCUCUUCGGACUGCGCGGUCUGCAGUUUCUGCGUUCCGUGCGGAAAGUUGCGCAAACCUUAACAUUUAGAGGAAGGAGAAGUCGUAACA
rnacentral:rRNA from 1 species